rnacentral:rRNA from 1 species
UGGUGCCUACGGGACGCAGCAGUGAGGAAUAUUGGUCAAUGGGAGAGAUCCUGAGCCAGCCACGCCGCGUGAGGGAAGACGGCCCUAUGGGUUGUAAACCUCUUUUGUCGGAGAACAAAAACCGGGACGUGUCCAGGACUGCGUGUAUCCGAAGAAAAAGCAUCGGCUAACUCCGUGCCAGCAGCCGCGGUAAUACGGAGGAUGCGAGCGUUAUCCGGAUUUAUUGGGUUUAAAGGGUGCGUAGGCGGUCCGUUAAGUCAGCGGUAAAAUU